rnacentral:rRNA from 1 species
AGGCAGGAGUGAAAGGCUACGGCUCAACCGUAGUAAGCUCUUGAAACUGGGAGACUUGAGUGCAGGAGAGGAGAGUGGAAUUCCUAGUGUAGCGGUGAAAUGCGUAGAUAUUAGGAGGAACACCAGUGGCGAAGGCGGCUCUCUGGACUGUAACUGACGCUGAGGCACGAAAGCGGGGGGAGCAAACAGGAUUAGAUACCCUGGUAGUCCACGCUGUAAACGAUGAGUACUAGGUGUCGGGGGUUACCCCCCUCGGUGCCGCAGCUAACGCAUUAAGUACUCCGCCUGGGAAGUACGCUCGCA